rnacentral:rRNA from 1 species
UACGGAGGGUGCGAGCGUUGUCCGGAAUCACUGGGCGUAAAGGACGCGUAGGUGGCCCGACAAGUCAACGGUGAAAGCUCGGCGCUCAACGCCGAGUCGGCCGUCGAUACUGUGGGGCUGGAGCACUGUAGAGGCAGAUGGAAUUCCGGGUGUAGCGGUGGAAUGCGUAGAGAUCCGGAAGAACACCGGUGGCGAAGGCGGUCUGCUGGGCAGUAGCUGACACUGAGGCGCGACAGCGUGGGGAGCAAACAGG